rnacentral:rRNA from 1 species
AAGUCGUAACAAGGUUUCCGUAGGUGAACCUGCGGAAGGAUCAUUAUUGAAAUAAACCUGAUGAGUUGCUGCUGGUUCUCUAGGGAGCAUGUGCACGCUUGUCAUCUUUAUAUCUCCACCUGUGCAYCUUUUGUAGACCUGGAUAUAUCUCUCUGAAUGCUCGCCACUCAGGUUUGAGGAUUGACUUUAUGUCUCUCCUUGCAUUUCCAGGCCUAUGUUUCUUUAUAUACCCCAAUGUAUGUCAUAGAAUGUAAUCAAUGGGCCUUUGUGCCUAUAAACCUAUACAACUUUCAGCAACGGAUCUCUUGGCUCUCGCAUCGAUGAAGAACGCAGCGAAAUGCGAUAAGUAAUGUGAAUUGCAGAAUUCAGUGAAUCAUCGAAUCUUUGAACGCACCUUGCGCUCCUUGGUAUUCCGAGGAGCAUGCCUGUUUGAGUGUCAUUAAUAUAUCAACCUCUUCAGAUUUUAUUUGUUGAGUGUUGGAUUUGGGGGUCUUUUUUGCUGGUCUUCUAAAGAUCAGCUCCCCUGAAAUGCAUUAGCAGAACGAUUUGUGGACCGUUCAUUGGUGUGAUAACUAUCUACGCUAUUGACGUGAAACAGUUCAGCUUCUAACAGUCCAUUGACUUGGACAAAUUUUCAUUAAUGUGACCUCAAAUCAGGUAGGACUACCCGCUGAACUUAAGCAUAUCAAUA